UAUUUGUUUUACAAGGGGCCAAAGUUGUUGUUUAACCGCUCGUGCUAAUAUUGAUACCCGAGCAAGCGAAGGAUUCCAAAAUUGAACCACGAGCAUAGCGACUGGUUUGAGAAGUGGAAUCUUGAGCGUUGCUAGGGUUAAACAAACUUUGCUGCCGAGUGAAACACAACAUUUUUCAAUGCACCAAUGCGAGGAAAAUACUAACUAAAAUAU